rnacentral:lncRNA from 1 species
CCGAUACGUGUCCUGAAGGGAGGAAGAGGAACAGAGACAAAAGUACAGAAACGUAAGGAGAGCACCUGGUUUAAUGACACCUUGUUAACCGCACCAUUGUAAUGGUAAUAAACACGUACGACCAAUACGAGAGUGUUGACUCUCUGACGCUAAGGAGGGGUUGCUCCAAGGGAGUGUCUGCCCCCCAUUUAAGUCUACAGCCAUGAUUCCUUAUCCAUUUUGUGCGUUUGAGGUUUGCCGGUGUCACAUGUCACCGUGUGAGGGUUACGUCCAGUGAUAGUGUCCGUGGCUUUUGGUGUUUCCACUUUUCCUUUCCGCGCGUUCAAGUCUUUUCCAGUGUUUCUUAAAAGAGGUAUCCAGCAAAAAAGUGAUACAUUUUUUCGUGCGGAUCAAACAUGUUUGAUAAGCUCGCGUUGGAAAUCCUCGCAUCUGUGGUGAUCGCGACGCUUAUACGGAGCGGAACUUGUGACGUGCCGUCAGACUGGCAAAGUGGUGUGGGGAGCAUAGCUCCCAGGAGCCUCGAUCCGAGGAGUGAUGCUGAAAGUAUAUCCCCCAGGGGCCCCGAGAUGGGGGUUAACGCGGGCAGUAUAGACCUCAAGGGCUCGGAAUCCGCAAAAGAGCGCACAGCGCGGGACUGGUCAACGACCGGUUCGACCGCAGGGAGUUACUACCCUCCAUCGAACGGCUACGUCGGAGGUCCUAGCUACGUGGACAGCUAUGGAGUGCCCCAUUCGGAUUAUCAGUACCCCAACGCCGGAGCCAGCAGCUACUCUUCUGAAGAGGCCAAACCCAAGCAAAGGCCAAUCGUCCCGCCCAUUUUCCCGCCUGUAUAUCAGGGAAUGCCGAUGACUCCAGUUGAGUGUCAAAUGGCGGGAUAUUCGAACGUCUUUGGAGACCUUUUCCGUUUCGGAGGGCUCAUCAAAGUGGGUCUCAUAAAAGCAGGUCUCACGGCCCUUGCGGCUGGCCUAUUGACCAAACUCCCUCUGCUCCUCUUCAUCAAGACCCUUAUCGUUAAACUUAUCAUUUUCCCAAUCGGCUUCUUAGUUUUCUCCCUCCCUGUUCUCUUACCUCUUCUUCUUUUCUUCCUCCCCAACCUGAUGAAGGACAAGCAGCCAAUCAUGAUGAUGAUGACACCUGAAAACGCCAAUAAUAGUACCAACGGUGGGAACAAAAAACCAGGCACGCGGGACUUCCUGUACAGAGUGUCCGAUAAAAUUGGCGAAAAGGGCUAUGAGGACGAAUACGAAGAGGAAUCUAGAAAAUCAAGGGACGCUGAUACCUAUCUAGACUCAAUUCUGAGCACAAUUUUUGACUCGCAACUGUGUCUGCAACGCAUUGCAUGUCAGCUUGGAGUCAGGGACGCGGAUUCCAAAUACAGGAAGUCAGUUUCGUGGGCGCUGAAGUAUCUGCAGACAUUCAAAAUGGCUGAAAGCAGCCCCGAAAUUCAAGCAAGACUGAAAUCUUACAGGAAUGCCUACAACCUGGGUGCUGAGCAAAAUUCUACCGAAUUUUGCUCUUCAGACGAGCGAUUCCCAUGUGAAACGCCACAUAUCGUCCUCAGACAAGCAAAGAGAUCGAUCACCUUAAUUUAAUCAAUUCACUUUGGAAACUGGAACCUUGGGAAUAAAUUUUACUCAAAGCAGUUGAACGGAUAAUCGCACAGUUACUUAUCACAAGACUGCAGAUCGUGUUGGAGAUCUCUAUGCUUACACCUUUAUAUUCAUAUUCACAUGACAUAGGUAAUAUGUAUCACCUGAACUUCUUAAAAUUUUAAUUCAGUCUCCAUGCAAAUCUUAGGUGGAGUUUUUUUUUUAUUGUUAUUAUUUCCACAAAAGUGAAUACACUAAAGAAAAAUUGACACUGUUUUUAAUAGAACAAUCGAAAUUUUUUUAAAAAACAGUUAAAGCUGUGUUAAAACUUUUAAAUUUUCUUUUGAAAAACUCACACUUUCACUUGAAACUGUUUUUUCUAAAUUCCAAAAAACAAUAAAAACACUUGCUUUCAUUUCUCAAGCUUUUAAUAACCAUCCUAAAAUAGUAGAAUGAUUUCAAUAAAGAUGAUGAAAUAAAAACGUGUAAUUUUGACUGAAUAUAGUUACUUCGUAAUUUCAAAAUACUUUUGAGUCAAGAAACCUCAUUUAAGAGUUAAAAUAAUAUUGAGCACUAGUACAAGAUGUGCAGUGGUUGCUGCUUCAAAUUAUGGAAAUAUAUCGCAUAAGCACCAUAUUUUGCUGUGAGAUUCCUAUUAACAUCCUCUAAAAUAACCGUGAAACUAUUUUCUUUGUCAUUUGUGAUUACAUCAUGGAUUGUAUGAAAAAUAGUUUGCUACUAUCGGUUCACGCAUAGCCUGAUCGAUCAGUGCUGCUUAACUUUAGCAGCUACACCCUCACAAAAUAACGCUCUGUUUCCAUACAUGAGCAUAGAAAAGGACACCAGUUUAGCAGUCAAUUGGUAAUGCACCGCAACUUUCUCACUUUGUAAAUAUCUUUGUAUCAUUAAUUUAUUUGUACAUAAGUUGAAUAAUCAAAUCUGUAACUUAUCAUGUGCCAUUAUUUAAACAAAUAAAUGCAAAACUAGA